rnacentral:tRNA from 1 species
GCUGGGAUAGCUCAGUUGGUAGAGCACACCCUUGGUAAGGGUGAGGUCGCCGGUUCAAUCCCGGUUCCCAGCU